AUUCAUCAUGCAAGUUCUUUUCUGUCUAGCUUAGGAAAGAGGUUAAUUCCCAAUGUUAUUCCAUGAUCUACCCAAAUCAAAUCUUCAUUCUAAACUUUGAUUCAAGGAAGUAGUAUAAAAGAUGUAGAGCCGAGAAAAUGGGAACGCCAUGACGAGUGAUAGAUACUGUGGCCUCAACUCUUCCAACUAUGAUAGAAAAUUUGAUUUGAUUUUUUUGGGGGGGCAACAUCAGAAAUUAAAGAGUGGAAGAGUCGGGUGAAAUAUUCCAAUAUUUCCAAUUUGUAUUCCAGUUUUCACUCAGCUUCAACAAUGCAAAAUGGCAUCAGUGCAUUUGCCAAAUAGUGCCUAUACAGAGAAUGCAAGUACCCAUCUACUGAGUAUGAGAUUUCAUAAAGGACAGAGGGUUACAUUUCAUGACUUUUUGCUUCUCCAGAACCAGACUACCGGAGCUGCCUUGUUUAUCUCUCUGGCCCUUGUUAAGUCCCAACCUACUUCAACACAAAGAAUGGAGGGAGAAACAUCAGCAUGCCCUUUUCCAAAUGUCGAUCAUCUGACCUUGAAUUGUGGUUGUGGCAAGUCCUGGUUGUCAGUUUGCUGCUGGGGGCAAGGACAGACGUUAACAAAGAAAGUCACAUUCAAUUAGAAACCAUCACCCGGGCUGGCAUUUGCGGUUACUCUGCACGGAUCAGCUUGAAGAACAACCACGUGGCUGCUUUUGGGUUUGAACUUGAAAGCAAGGGCAUUUUUGGCAGCAAGGGGAAUCAUGUCCUCCCUCUAAUGUGCUGAUGAGAAGAACAGUUUUCCUGGAAAUUUGGAAACAGAGGCUCCAUGGUACUGAGCAUGUUCAGGACAGUCAGAAUCAAAGCAUUAUUUUAAAGGUGUCUUUUACUAAAGAUCGGGCUGCAAGGUGUAAGUGUCACCUCCUCCGUGUCUCCCAUGCUUGGGUCUUCUUAGAAUCUCUCAGGUGAUGGACCCAUGGGCUCCCAUGCAGGGCAAUUAGGCAGUGCAGGCCCCGUGGGGCACUCGUGGAAGGCCCAGGACAUUCACUAUUGCCACAGCUAUGGCCCUCACGAGCCUUCUGGAGCAGCCACUUAACCAGCUCUCAGUGAUUAAUAGCUAUACCCCUACUUGAGGCACUGGGAAUACGUGAGCAAGAACCCUAAAGGGAGAGGAAACAUAUUUGGUAACAUUUCAUUACUAAACAGAUCAAAUGUGGUUUCCAGCCUUCACAGAUUGGUCAUUUGGGUUGGGGUUCUUCUAAGUUCAUCCAGCACUGUUCAAGAAAAGCCAGUAUUCCAGGUGUUCUGCCCCAGCAGUGUUGGAAGUGCCCUCCAUAGACCAACAUAGUCUCAGACCCAAUACCAGGAGAUGGCCAUGGCCACAUCAUCAACACCGGUCCCAUGGCCUUUGUGUCUGCCACUCUCUCUGCCUGCUGGAAGUUCACUUCUUCCCCAGAAUUUGAGUAUGUCAUGUUCUCUCACCCUUUGGGUUUUACCCCGAAGUCACCUUCACUCAGUGAGGCCUUCCCUGGCACCUCUCUCAAAUAAUCCCCUUCUCCCAAUUUCACUCUUCACCCUUUCUUGCUUUAUUCUUCUUCCAUGACCCUCUCCACUGCUUACGGCCUUCACAUUAUGCUCCUUGUGUAUUCCUGCCUCUCUCACUAGCCUCUCAGCUCCUUGAGGGCAGGGACCUCAGUCUGUGCCUGCAAGAAUUGCCUGUACACAGUAGGUGCUCAGUUGGAAUUUGCUGAGUGAAUGCCUAUGCCCAUGUGAAUAAAUGAAUGAAAGCCUUCAGUAGUUCCAAAUGACCUUUCAACUUGGCCUCUCUUCUAGUUAAUGGGUACAGUUGAGACUUCUUAGAACAAGCACACAACACUUUCAUUCUGACCCCUGUUCAUUUUUAUCAAAUAAGAGAAGCAAAACAUAAUGGGCCAUUGGGAAAACUACACCAACAUGACUUGAAGGGCACUGCUGAAACUGGACUUUGAUGGCCUGGCAGGAGCAUUGUCAUGAAGGAUUUCUCAGCUAGUUUAUGCAAGAACAAACUUAGUCCCUAUUAUAGGUCGCAGUGUUUUAAUGACAAAAGUUGUUCAAGGUUAUUUAUUUUUAAACAUAUAUAUAUGUAUGUAUUUGGCCACCCCACAGCAUAUGGAGAUCCCGAGCUAGGGAUAAGAUCCCAGCCUAAGAGGCAGCUUCGGCAAUGCUGGAUCCUUAACCCACUGUGCCGGACAAGGGUUUGAACUUGAGUCCCAGGACUACCAAGAGGCAGCCGAUCCCAUUGCACCACAAUGGGAACUCUAAAAUCUAUUCAUAUUUAAAGGUAUAUAUAAAAGUCCAGCGAGGUCUGUGUCUGAUUUAGCCUUGUUUAGUGUUGGCUUAUUGGCUGGUAACUCUUGGGAGAACUUCAUAUCCUUGGGGGAGAGGGGAGAUAAAAUUUGUCCCAUUAUAUGUGCCACAGUAUGUUGCACACAACUUUGCUAUAGUAAAUGUCCAAAAGAGAAUGAUGUUGAAGUGACUUGACCACGGAAUUUGCUUCUUUAUCCUUUCUGGGCUGUGAAUCCCAGGAUCCACAACCAGGACUGGUACACCCAAUGCUGAGUGGUCCCUGUCCUGCAUUGAGAGGCAGGAGAAGAGCUUGAGCCUGGGGUGAGAUGUGUGUCUGAAAAGAGCUGGAGGCAAAUGCAGCUCCAGCCUCCUGUGUCUCCAGGCAAGCCUCCCUUCCCCAUCCUGGAGCCCCGCUGGUCCAUAACCAUCCCCACCCCACUGGUUCCUCUUGCCAUUUGGUUUGGGCUAUGUCCUCACCCUGGCACUGACGCAUGCAUCCAAGAGGAAUCCAAGCCCCUUGCCUUGAAAGUGUGUCUAUGUGUGGCUGAUGACGUGAGUCUGUGGCCCCAUCACCGUAGCAGAUUACAGGGUGGGUGAAGGGCUCCAGUCUGCUUCCUCCUUAUCUGAGUGAGUCCCUGGGGCACCUGUGCCUCUUUCAAAGGCAGACCCUGAUUCCAGUUCAUUCUUGGUCCCACCCAACCAACAGCAGAAACAAGUCCUUAGUCCUCAGCUCUGCCAGCCUUGAACUCUUGGAGGUGUGAACCAGUUAGAGGGCAACACUGGGACCAGAGGGUCAAUGGGUGACACUUCCAAGCAGUCAGUCACAUUCAGUUUCUUGCAAAGGCCCAAAAAAAAGCAAGAACCACUUUCAUGGGCUGAAAGAAAAUGGAGAUGAUCCAGUUACACAGUCUCUAGAACCUGUCUUCAGUCUGGGCCUCAGGAGCCCAAGCCUCCCACCAGAGAUUUCUGUAGUCAAAACAAUUCCAUUUACAGCCAGAGAGCAUCUGUUUGGGUGGCCUUCAUACUCAGAAGUUUCUAGAACCUCUUGGGGGGGGGUGUCUUUUGUGGAUAUACAAUGGGUUGAGUUUGUCAAAGCCCUCCUUUCAGAGGGAGAGAAAACCCUGCCCAGGGCCUCCAACUCAAAGACACAGACUUCAGAUAGCAGAUGGACCUUGAAGGGGAAGGGGAAUCCACACUCUUCGGAAAUAGGAGGGGGCAGAGUCACAGAACAGAGCCUGUACCUCGGCAUCCUUCAAAGGCAAGUCUUUAAAACCUAUGUGAGGAGUUCUUGUGGCUCAGUGGGUUAAGAACCCAACAUAAUUUUUGUGAGGAUUUGGGUUUAACCCCUGGCCUCACUAAAUGGGUUAAGGAUCCGGCAUUGCCGUGAGCUGUGGUAUAGGUCACAGAUGUGGCUCAGAUCCCAUGUUGCUGUGGCUGUGGUGGAGGCCAGCAGCUGCAGCUCCAAUUUUACCCCCAGCCUGGGAACUUCUAUGUGCUGCAGGUGCAGCUGCAAACAACAACAAACAAACAAACAAACAAACAAAAAAACCAUAUGUGAUCACUUGGAACAAGACCCAUUAUGGCAUCACUGCUGUCGAAGGGGCGUGGACACAGC
rnacentral:lncRNA from 1 species